AUGCACAGCGUCUCUGCGAAUCACGUCUUCAUUUUUGUUUGUCGAAGGCAAACGUUCGGGGUGAGUGCUCUGAAUCUGCUCCACUGCAAAGCUGCAAAAUCUUACUUAUGAUUAAUCUCUGUAGAAGGCUCCAUCCUGAUUGGUCAGAAACUAAGUGACCAUAUUCUGAAUCUACAAAAAGAGGACGAUACUAUACGGGGUGGAAUCGUGCACAAAAAAAGUGUUUUUUCACGCUUCAAUUUCCACAGCAUCCAGAAUGGCUACUAAAAGGCCAAUCAUAGCUGAUCGUAACCAUUCAAGUUAACGUGUCAAUUUCCACCGACUUCUUUCCGUUCCUCUGCGGAUCGCCGGACUCCUCAGCUGAUCACAAGAGUUCUAUUUUUUCUGGACGCCAGAGCAUGGCGGAUAAAUUCAGCACAGAUUAACCCGUGCUGGAAAGGAAGUCGGGGAAAGACCCUAUUUUAUUUUAACGCGAGUUAAGACACAGAGGCACCGAUCGAGGGGGGGUAGUUGAAAACGCUUUUCUGGUCUGAGUUUGAUCAGUCGGUCUUCCUGUAAAGAGCAGUAGCCUACAGUAUAUAGUAUAUUGUUGAUUCCUACAGUAUAUAUAUAUUUUUGUAACUUUAUAAAAGAUUUAAAAAAUCGUCCGAUCAAUCGGUAGUCAGAUUUCCCCCCAAACAAUCGGUAUUGGCCCCAAGAAGUCCAUACUGGUCGGGCCCUACAUGUUAUCGCGCAAUAGCACGUGAAACCGCGGGUUCUUGUGAGUUCUUGUAAUAGCCGCUGUCCAUAAUCUGCCACGAAAUUCGCCUCACAAACAGAUCCAGUAGGAAUUGGCGGAGGCGAAAAUCUGCGCCGUUCUGGAUGCAGUGGAAAUUGUGGGUAACUCAGUUAGUCCACGCUACACAAACUCAAAACCUCCAUGAAAAAUCCUGGACAUUUGAAGGAUUUUGUUAACUCCCCCCGACAGGCCGGACAUAAAGAGGACAUGUCCGGGUUGAAGAGGACGUAUGGACACCUGAUCAAAAACCAAAAAUAUCCGGGUUGAUUGAGGUUUUUCUCCGAACCCUAAACCAGUCAUUCCUGACUUCCCUCCCUGUGUAGUUUGGAGCUGGAUGUUACCCCGACAGAGACUCUAUAAUCCCUCAAAACUAAUGCUGCCCUUUCACUCCUUCUCCAGGGAGACGUUUCCUGCCGGUGUGACUUCACUCUUCUCCCGGCUCCUGAUUUCUUCAGUCCAGGGAGUCGGCAGAGGUGUGACAGGCCUGCCCUUCUCCUGCUCAUAACCCAUCAGCUGAAUAAUUACAGCUAACCUGCUUCUCCACAGGGCUUUGCUGCUAUAAACGACCCCGCUGUCACGCGCUAAUGGAAAA